rnacentral:rRNA from 1 species
UACAGAGGUCUCAAGCGUUGUUCGGAUUCAUUGGGCGUAAAGGGUGUGUAGGUGGCGCCGUAAGUCGGGUGUGAAAUUUCGGAGCUUAACUCCGAAACUGCAUUCGAUACUGCGGUGCUUGAGGACUGGAGAGGAGACUGGAAUUCCACGUGUAGCGGUGAAAUGCGUAGAGAUGUGGAGGAACACCAGUGGCGAAGGCGACUCUUUGGUCUGUAACUGACGCUGAGGCGCGAAAGCGUGGGGAGCAAACAGG